AGUUAUCCAAUCACAAGUUGUUUGCAAGUUUUUUGCAGCAAUCAUUUGCAUAUCUCUUGCCAUACGAUCCUCAUUAAUAUAUACUGAAGAAAAAUAGUUAUUUAAAAUUUCUGCUUUUUCCUGGUCUUCAUUAGCUAAUAAACCCAACUCUGUUUCAAGUGUACCUACACUUUCAUUUUUUUUUUUUUUAGAAUUGAUGUACUUGAAAAAAAU